AUGAGUUUACCAAGGGUGACCCAGCUGUCAGAGAUAGAUACCAGGUCUUCUGGAUUUCAAGUCCAUUGUUCUAAGCACUGUACUGUUCUGGAAGACAAGGAGGAACCUGGGGCAAGACUGAAACCGUCCCAGCAAGAGGUCUCUUCUAAUCCUGAGUGUAUGAGGAACUAUAUAACAUGUACUGCAGGUCUCAGUGGGACCUGACUCCCAGAGCCCUUUAGGAGCUCCAGGACUCUUUAGGGAGAGGUAGGUUGGUUGAGAGUGCCUCUGGAUAGAGGACCAGGUUCUGGACCAUGGACUGUGUUCUGGGAACUUUUCAUUGAUCUGCCAUUUGUCCUUCCUGCCCUGAGUCACUGACUGGGGCUGUGCCAGCAGAUUUAGGCGCAUCAUUUGAAAACCCAUUACAACUGGCUGUUGGCUAGACUUUGGGGUGGAGUCAGGGCAUGGAGACAAAUUUUGAACAAAUUCCCUUAUUGUGAACUUUGACGUAUAGAAUCAUGGGAUUGAGAGCUAAAUGGAACCUUAGAAUCUUCCCAUUUUGUAGAUGAAGAAACCAAGGUCUGGAGAGGUAAGAUGCUUGCCCAAAGCUAUAUAGCUAAUAAUAGAAGAGAUAGGACUCAAAUCCAGGCUCUGAUUUCUAGUCUAGAGUUCUUUCCCUUACCCAGUACCCUGCCUCUUGGGAGAGGGCUAACAUCCUUACCUUCCAGAGCUCAGUUUCCUUGUCUGUAAAACGAGAUAAAUUACAUAUGCCAUUUAAUCACAUCCUUAGAGUGCUUGAAGAUUCAGAGAGAACUGAUAGUUUGGAAGGUUAAGAGAGGAUGGAGCAGAAGUCCAUUUUGGUAGUCUCUUAGCCUAGAGGCUUCUUGAGUUUGAGGCCAGGGUGAGGUUUUUUUUCCCCCUUGGCUUGUCCCUUCUGGGCACCUAUUCAGGCAGCCCCUAGCCAGGAGUGCUUGAAUCGUUGUUGUCCCCUUUAUUUGGGGUGAAGUGCAAUUAUCUCCCGGAUCCCCUGGGCUUGGAUCCCCGAGAUAAUGAGAAUGAGAGACAGAAUUAUGAGAACCCAGCUGGCCCAUCUGCAGGGGGUGGAGUGCUGCAGCCCUUGGCAUCUGUGACCUCCUUCCCAGGGAGUGAGAGCUCUUCCAUGCAACGAGUCUGACUGGUUUGUAGGCCUCUCCCCUACCAGCCAGCUCUGGGAGGUGCCUGUGUG
rnacentral:lncRNA from 1 species